AUGGGCGUGGAGUGUCGGUACGAGCUCGCGCAGGCGGCGUACGUGAAGCUCGCGCUGCACGCGCUCAAGCACCCGGCGGCGGCCGUCAACGGGCUCCUCGUCGGCCGCCUGGCGGACCCGGCCGCCUCCCCGGCCGUCGUCUCGGUCGCCGACGCCGUGCCGCUCUCCCACCAGCCGCACCACCUCCCGCUGCUCCCCACGCUCGAGCUCGCGCUCACCCUCGUCGAGGACCACUUCCAGGCGCAGGGCCUCGCCGUCGUCGGAUACUACCACGCCAACGCGCGCCGCGACGACGCCGACCUCCCCGCCGUCGCCAAGCGCGUCGGGGACCACAUCUUCCGCUACUUCCCCCGCGCCGCGGUGCUGCUGCUGGACAACGUGAAGCUCGAGGAGGUGGUGAAGGGGAGCAGUCGCGAUGCCGUUGUUCAGCUAUACACCAGGGAUUCAUCAAAAAGCUGGCGUCAGGCUGGAUCAGAUGGAAGUAGUCAGCUCAAACUGAAAGAGGCAUCUACAAAUGUGGUCUUAGCUGAUCAUGUUACCACGAAGAAAUGGCAGAAAGUUGUUGAUUUCGACGACCACCUCGAUGAUAUCAGCAAGGACUGGUUGAACGCAAGCCUGCUUGGUUGA
rnacentral:rRNA from 1 species